AUUGACUUCUAUUGGGGUCCUCCCAUCCCUAUUGGGGUCCUCCUAACCCUAUUGGCUUCUAUUGGGGUCCUCCCAUCCCCUAUGGCUUCUAUUGGGUCUCU
rnacentral:lncRNA from 1 species